rnacentral:rRNA from 1 species
UUGGACGGUCAUAGGGGCCUGGUUCACCCGUUCCCAUUUCGAACACGGAAGUUAAGCAUGCCUCCGUUCUUGGUUGUACUGUACUCAUGUACGGGAAGCCCGGAAAGCUGUCCACU